rnacentral:rRNA from 1 species
AGUGAACGCUGGCGGUAGGCCUAACACAUGCAAGUCGAACGGCAGCACAGUAAGAGCUUGCUCUUACGGGUGGCGAGUGGCGGACGGGUGAGGAAUACAUCGGAAUCUACUUUUUCGUGGGGGAUAACGUAGGGAAACUUACGCUAAUACCGCAUACGACCUACGGGUGAAAGCAGGGGAUCUUCGGACCUUGCGCGAUUGAAUGAGCCGAUGUCGGAUUAGCUAGUUGGCGGGGUAAAGGCCCACCAAGGCGACGAUCCGUAGCUGGUCUGAGAGGAUGAUCAGCCACACUGGAACUGAGACACGGGGCAGACUCCUACGGGAGGCAGCAGUGGGGAAUAUAGGACAAUGGGCGCAAGCGUGAUCCAGCCAUACCGCGUGGGUGAAGAAGGCCUUCGGGUUGUAAAGCCCUUUUGUUGGGAAAGAAAAGCAGCAGGUUAAUACCCCGCUGUUCUGACGGUACCCAAAGAAUAAGCACCGGCGAACUUCGU